rnacentral:rRNA from 1 species
UAGCUAGUUGGUGAGGUAACGGCUUACCAAGGCGACGAUCUGUAGCGGGUCUGAGAGGAUGAUCCGCCACACUGGAACUGAGACACGGUCCAGACUCCUACGGGAGGCAGCAGUGGGGAAUUUUGGACAAUGGGGGCAACCCUGAUCCAGCCAUGCCGCGUGAGUGAAGAAGGCCUUCGGGUUGUAAAGCUCUUUCGGCCGGGAAGAAAUCGCAUGGGCCAAUACCCUGUGUGGAUGACGGUACCGGAAUAAGAAGCACCGGCUAACUACGUGCCAGCAGCCGCGGUAAUACGUAGGGUGCGAGCGUUAAUCGGAAUUACUGGGCGUAAAGCGUGCGCAGGCGGUUUUGUAAGACAGGCGUGAAAUCCCCGGGCUCAACCUGGGAACUGCGUUUGUGACUGCAAGGCUAGAGUACGGCAGAGGGGGGUGGAAUUCCACGUGUAGCAGUGAAAUGCGUAGAGAUGUGGAGGAACACCAAUGGCGAAGGCAGCCCCCUGGGUCGAUACUGACGCUCAUGCACGAAAGCGUGGGUAGCAAACAGGAUUAGAUACCCUGGUAGUCCACGCCCUAAACUAUGUCAACUAGGUGUUGGGUGGGUAAAACCAUUUAGUACCGUAGCUAACGCGUGAAGUUGACCGCCUGGGGAGUACGGCCGCAAGGUUAAAACUCAAAGGAAUUGACGGGGACCCGCACAAGCGGUGGAUGAUGUGGAUUAAUUCGAUGCAACGCGAAAAACCUUACCUACCCUUGACAUGCCAGGAACUUGCCAGAGAUGGCUUGGUGCCCGAAAGGGAGCCUGGACACAGGUGCUGCAUGGCUGUCGUCAGCUCGUGUCGUGAGAUGUUGGGUUAAGUCCCGCAACGAGCGCAACCCUUGUCGUUAAUUGCCAUCAUUUAGCUGGGCACUUUAGCGAGACUGCCGGUGACAAACCGGAGGAAGGUGGGGAUGACGUCAAGUCCUCAUGGCCCUUAUGGGUAGGGCUUCACACGUCAUACAAUGGUCGGUACAAAGGGUCGCCAAGCCGCGAGGUGGAGCCAAUCCCAGAAAGCCGAUCGUAGUCCGGAUUGCAGGCUGCAACUCGCCUGCAUGAAGUCGGAAUCGCUAGUAAUCGUGGAUCAGCAUGUCACGGUGAAUACGUUCCCGGGUCUUGUACACACCGCCCGUCACACCAUGGGAGCGGGUUCCGCCAGAAGUAGGUAGCCUAACCGCAAGGAGGGCGCUUACCACGGCGGGGUUCGUGACUGGGGUGAAGUCGAAACAAGGUAGCCGUAGGGGAACCUGCGGCUG